rnacentral:rRNA from 1 species
UAGGGAAUCUUCCACAAUGGGCGAAAGCCUGAUGGAGCAACGCCGCGUGUGUGAUGAAGGGUUUCGGCUCGUAAAGCUCUGUUGUUAAAGAAGAACACGUAUGAGAGUAACUGUUCAUACGUUGACGGUAUUUAACCAGAAAGUCACGGCUAACUACGUGUCAG